rfam:Ictidomys tridecemlineatus contig061696, whole genome shotgun sequence.
GGGGAUAUGGCUCAGUUGGUGGAGUGCUUGCAUUGCAUGCAAAAACUCCUGGGUUCAAUCCCCAGAACCACCA